rnacentral:rRNA from 1 species
UUUCGACCUGAGGUCAGGCAAGAACACCCGCUGAACUAAGCAUAUCAAUAAGCGAGUA